CUCAUUUGCAGAAUUUUUACAGCUUUUCGAUAAUAAAAAUACAUACAGUAAACUAUUGUUUUUUAAUGUAAAAUAUGUUCAAAUAUAAUAAGAAUAUCCUCUUAAAAUUAAUACAAAUAUUUACUAUUUAGAGGUUCAAAAAAGAGGAGCAUUUUUAAGUCAACAAUGUCUACAACGAUCAAAUUGUCAUUAUGAAUUUGAUCAUCGAUUAGCUGUCGAUUAUUCCUCAGUGUUGAAGCCUUUCAAUGCAAAAUAAAAAAACUACAAUGCAGUAAAAACUAGGGUGUAUUCCUCAGUGUUGAAACCUUUUGAUGCCAAAAAAACAAAAAACAAAACAACAAAAGCCUACAAAGCAGUCACAACUAAACGAGCACUCUGAGUAAAAUGACUUCCACCAAAGCAACCAAAUACAAAGCAUCCCUAUAUUUGAUAGUGGGCUCAUGCCCCAAAAUGUCAUAACGGUUUCUGUUUUUGAGUUAAAUAGGCUAAAUUUGAGGUAAAUAGGCUAAUCAGUGAUCACAUUAUUGCAAAAUUCCUUAUCUGACCUCUGUGACCUUUGACCUUAUCAACCCAAAUUAAUCCCCUCUUCCGUUCCACAAGACAAUCAUAUACUGUACUGCGAAAUGUAUAAUCCCUUUGUUUAUUCUUGAGUUGUCUUGAACACAAACAUAUUUCUCACCUCUUUGACCUCUUGACCCCAAAAUAUAAGUUCCUCUUCCGUUUCAUAUAACAAAAUGAUCCUGCGUCUAUUCCCAUCAUCAAUGGCAACCAAUGAGUUAAACAUGCACACAGUCAUUUCUAGCAUUUGAAUUUCAGUAUUUUCUUACCGCACAACUCCUGAUGUGUUCCUGAGAACAGAAGCGGCAAAACUCUGCGUGACGCCCACCAAGCUGGUUCCGUCCACCUCCACGAUCUGGUCGUUCACUUUGAUCCUAACAGACAUAAAAUUAUCUCAAUUGAUUAAUACGAUAUGCUUUGAAAAUCUGCACGAAACAAGCUUAUGCAAUCUUCUGUAACGUGUUGCUUAUGUGUCAGUCAUUCUUGACCCGCAGAACUUGCCAUUUUAAUCUGGCUUCAUCCCCACACAAAAUGGAAUUAGGAAAAGAUAAAGCGGCGACGAAGGAACGCGACACGUCUCAGUGGGUCAGCGUAACCGCACAUCGAUCUGUCUGCCCGCCGUCGUGCGCCUCGGACCGUUAAACCUGACUCGGCAAAAGGCCGACGCGCACGCAUAGAGCCGCGCCACCUUCAAUGACUGUUUUGACAAAGAUGCCCAAUUUCUCCAGGCCUGCAUCAGCACCGACACCCAUCCCGAUGAUGCUGAUCCCUAAACCGUCUUCAUCUGAACACAAAGAGGGAAGAGCUCGAGUUUUUCCACUCGUUUCUCCAGCUCGUACUCUGCAGACGAAGCCACGGGAUCCACUUCCUCAUUACGGCGGUCGUAGUCUUCGUUGGAGUAGGUGUUGAAUACCUGGGGAGGUUCUUCAUUCAUUGGCUGCCAAUGACGACAUUAGAUGUCCAUUCCAUUUGGACUCCCUUUAUGAUUCUUACCACAACUUGGAGAGAAAGUUUUUGAGGUGAGAGUCUAUUCAUAAAUCAUUUAAUGAUGAAAUGUACAGAAAUUUAAAGCAACACUUGUAUAACUUUUAUAAAAUAUUUUCAUAAAUUUGUGAUAUGUCGACUGACAACUAGUUGAAUGACACCUUUUUUUAUAUCUAUACCUUAUUACUAUUCAUCCUUCACACAGCUGCUGGAAACACAAAUGUCAUUUAAUUCAUCAGUAGGAGACUGAAAGAUGUUGAUUUUACAACACUGCAGGUUUCUCCUCAUUGGAAAACACUACCACUUUUGUCCACCGGCAUCGGUAAAAUCAACCAAACUGAAAAGUUACCUCGUGAUGCUUUCA